AUACACUUCCACAAACGUGUGUUGUGAAGAUCAGACUAUAAUAGAUGCCUGUUCUUUAAAUAAAACAGGCCGCUCACUCACUCAUGAUUUCAAUCAAUGGGAUGACAAUCACCUGACUCUAAUUUCACCUUCAAAUGAACUGCAAAUCCUAGUGGUUCACAUACUUUUGCCACUUUUGUCACAGAUAUGCAAUACUGGAUAAUUUUCCUCAAUAAAUAAAUGACCGAGUAUAAAAUUUUUGCGUUUCAUUUGAAUAACUGGGUUCUUUUUAGCUACUUUUAGGGCUUGUGUGAAAAUCUGGUGAUGUUUUAGGCCGUAUUCAUGCAGAAAUCUAGAAAAUUCUAAAGGGUUUGCAAACGUUCAAGCACCACCGUGUGUGUGUGUCUAAGGCGAACAGACAGAGAAUAUGUACUGAUUUCAGAGUUUGAUGUGGUCGUCUUGCACUGAGUCAGAAGUAUUAAACACGCUUUGCAGUCAGGGGGAAGGGAAGAGAAGCUCAAGGGGAGCUCAAUUCCCUUCAGUCUGGGGUUCAUGUUCUGAAAGAAUGUGCGUGGGUGGGCUAACGGAUGACGUAAUGAUGGUUCUUCAGAAAAGAAGGGACACUUUUUGUUCCCCCGCUGAAGUUAAAACAGCACCUCUUACCUGUAGCAGAGGGAUCGUGUCUUAUUUGAGCUGCGAGCGAGAAACGGCAUCGACGCCCAUCGUUUCUGAGAAGCUGCCAGAGCUCUAGGAUGAGCUAAUAGAUUGUGCAUGAUGUCCUUGAGCUAUUUGGAACAGGAGAGAGGGAUGAUGAAACACAUCAGCGGAGGAAGACACAUGAACUCUGAAGUUCAGGGCGUAUCCCCUCUGUGUGUGGUGCACCUGCUGAAAGGGAGAGAGGGAUCACCUGCUCUCUCUCUCUCUCUCUCUCUCUCUCUCUCUCUGGUAUUCAGACCGACAGUAGCUGGAGGACGUGCCGAGAAGCGCAAGGUGCACUUUUGUUCUCUUGUCUGGACUUGCUGAUCUAAAGCUACCGCUAACGCAGAUUUUUCCUUUGCAUACCUUUAGAUAUAGAGUGAGACAGAGAGAGAGAGAGAGAGAGAGAGGGAGGGAGGGAGGGACAAAAAGAUAGAUAGAUAGAUAGAUAGAUAGAUAGAUAGAUAGAUAGAGAGACAUUGAGAAAGUUAGAAAAAUGAAAGAAGUAAAGAGAGGAUGGAGAAAAGAAGAGAGAGAGAGAGGCAGACUGAAGGGAAGGAAAGAGAAACUGGAAGAAGACCGAGAUAGAGAGAGAUAGAAACAGACUAAGAAAGGGUGUGAGAGUGAUCGAAAGAGAGAGGGAAAGAAGGAGGUAGAAAGAAGGGAUGAUGUAAGAAAGAAAGAGAGAAGAGUUAGAGAAAGAAGAGAGAGAGACGGAUAGUGAUAGUGAGCGUGAGACAAGAGAUAGAGAGAGAGAGAUAAAAGGACGGAUAGAGCACAUAAGGAGCACAGAUUGAGCACACACACACACACACACACACACACACACACACACACGCACACACACAAGGCAUUUGAUGAGGAGAUAAGAACCGCCAGCCUGAGGGUGUGGGUUUCAAGCAGGUGCAAUCACACACCCGUGUCUUCUUUAAGGGACAAGACAGAACAAGGCAGGGGGCGUGUGUGUGUGUGUGUGUGUGUGUGUGUGUGUGUGUGUGUUCAUGUCUAUGACGUGUCCCCUUACCAUGACUUAUGUCAAUAUAUCACAUUCCUUUUCUCAAAACCUCCAGGAACCUUUGAGAUAACUGAUCUAUCACACACCACACACACGAACGGUUCACGGCGAAUACACGCGUUCCAUAUCGCUAACGCCGCCACGCCGCGAUCCGGUGGAUUAGCGAUGUGUUAUUCUUGGAUGGAUGAAAACAUCCCUGAUUUCAGCCGGAUCAUUUUGCCAGCAGCGCCACAUUUGACAGAACGGAUUAAAUUUGUUCCAGAUGCUAGCGUACGACGGAGGUUUAUGCUAAUAAACAGUUCAUGCUAACCAAUAAAUCCGGCUGCUAUGGGACAGCGUACACUGAUAGUGCAUUAAGACCAAGUCGUGCUAGCUUUUCUGUCAACAACAUGUAUUUCUGCCAAACAUUACCUAGCAUGCUAAUGCUCCCUUUAAUGCUGAUACAAAAACGUAGCUAACGAAAGACAGAUGUGCGAUUCAAACGAUAUUAUGUCAUGGACCUUUAUGUUUGUUUGUUUGUUCGAGGGGAACUUCUUCACCGUUAACGAUUCAACACCUGCGUCAUUUUAUUAGACUUAAAUAUCCAUUUACAGCGGAACUAACAAUUCUACACGCCCCUGUUAAAAGGGCAGGCUUUUGUUGUGGAAAAGAAAAAAAAAAACACAAAUCGAGAUAAUCAUGCCAUCGUGAAAUCUUAACUUAUAUUAAUUAAAGCGAAAAACAACAAGAAUCAUUUUAGCUUUAAAAUGGAUUAGCAUUAAAACUGACGCAGUGCAUUGUGGGAAUUCUUUGUCCCACACAGAUUAACACUCAUUUUAAGGUAGAGUACCUUUCCUGUCACGUUAACGACACGGAUUGAGAUCACCGCUAUGAGUAGCCGUGUCCAGUCUCACCGUUAUUUGCAAUAAACCCCACCCCUUUUUUAUUGCGUUGCAUGAUGGGAUGAAAAACGCCACUCUCCACCACUCUACAUGCAUCGUACAUGUACAUUUUCAUAUUUUUCAGUAUGAUUACACCAGACAGUAGGGGUGUAACAUCAUGUCACUAUCUGUAUCUAUUACGCACUCCAGAUAUUCGUAUCUGUAUCUCUAUUCGGCUUUAAGCCAGAAGUGGGCGUGGUCUAAAUCAGGAUUUUUCUACUUAAAUAGAGAUGUGCGCAGGAAUGUCUGACGACUAAUCCCACUCGUCCGGUUCUUAUUUUAUUAUUUGUAUCUCCUUGAGGUAUUUUCUAAUGAGUUUCAAUAAACAAGAAGACGAAUUGAGAGUACCGUGAUCCUAACCAGGCAGUUACUAAGGAUGAACGAGUGGAAACGCACGUUCGCGUCAUCGAACACGGCUUCUCUUCACGCUGCAAGCUUCAUAUCUGACAGCCGAACGGAUCGUUUCGGUUUGUUCGCUAUUUGGUUUGGUUUGUUUUCUCGCUGCACCGCAACCGCACCGACGUUCGGACCGCACCUGAGUGAGUUUGCUGUGGAGGAAAAUGCAGUGUACAAAGUCACUCACGCUUGUCUUACAGUAUGCCUUCUUUACUUUAGGUAUACAAUAGGCCAAUUCCCUGCACACUUAUCACCGACUGUCACAGACACCUCCUGUUUACCUCCUGUCCUACUUCCUGGUUGUGGUUUUGUGUUCUACUUCCUGGUUUUCACAGAUUCUGCUUUAUGUCUUCCUACUGCUCCGGCUCCGUCCUUCAGACUGAUAACGCUACACACUUCCCAUGAUCACUGUUUGCACCUGACCCUCUUCACCGAGGUUCAUGGAACAACGGUUUCAUGCAUAACUAGCGAUUUUCCAUUUCCCGAACUGCAGAGAGAGAAACUGUAUGAUUUAGAAAUGUGUGUGUGUGUGUGUACAUAUAUACAUAUAUAUAUAUAU
ensembl:lncRNA